rnacentral:lncRNA from 1 species
UUCGCUACUGCGCCAGAUGCAGGUCAGUUACUAGGCAUGCUGUUGAAGCUAGUAGAUGCAAAGAAGACAAUUGAAAUUGGAGUUUACACAGGAUACUCUCUCCUCCUCACUGCGCUUACUAUUCCUGAGGAGGGAAAGGUACGUCUGUUACAAAUUCUUCAAUCUGCUUUCUUGUCACGCUAAUUCGAAAGCACUAUAUAUGUUCAUGAAAGCUCGCCAUGCAUGGUUAGUUGGUUACCUUAAUUUCAUGGAUCUGACAUAAGUUACGUACCUUAUUGCAGAUUGUAGCCAUAGAUAUAGAUCGUGAGACAUAUGAGCAAAUAGGGCUGCCAAUCAUAAAGAAAGCUAGUGUGGAGCACAAAAUUGACUUCAUU